UCCCAAAAAUAACGUCCCAGUUCGGAUUGUAGUCUGCAACCCAACUACAUGAAGCCGGAAUCGCUAGUAAUCGCGGAUCAGAAUGCCGCGGUGAAUACGUUCCCGGGUCUUGUACACACCGCCCGUCACACCAUGGGAGUCGGGAACACCCGAAGUCCGUAGUCUAACCGCAAGGGGGGCGCGGCCGAAGGUGGGUCCGGUAAUUGGGGUGAAGUCGUAACAAGGUACC
rnacentral:rRNA from 1 species